CGUGACCGGUCGAGUGAUUUCGCGGAUGCCAUAUUGAAAAUUUUCGAUAUAUCGAUAAUCUCGUUGCAGGAUAUCGUUAAUGGAUGCGAGUGAUCAAAAUUCUUUCUACUUUUUUUCCCUUCUUAUUUAAAGUUAUUAUUAAAAUGUAAAAAGUAUUAUUUCUAGAAAGAAUCAUUAGAAAUAAUUGUAACCUAAAGUUUUAUCUGCUUGAUAUAUUAUCGAAUGCAUCGACAAGUGUAAAAGUUAAGUGUUAAAAUGUAAAAAGUAUUAUUUCUAGAAAGAAUCGUUAGAAAGAAUUCUAACCUAAAGUUUUAUCUGCUUGAUAUUUUAACGAUAUUAUCGAUACAUCGAAUGCAUCGACAAAUGUAAAAGUUAAGUGUAAAAAGUAUUAUUUCUAGAAAGAAUCGUUAGAAAGAACUCUAACCUAAAGUUUUAUCUGCUUGAUAUUUUAACGAUAUUAUCGAUACAUCGAAUGCAUCGACAACGUACCAAUAGUUCGAUAUAUACGUGUACAUCAUUAGCUCGACGAUUCUAACUUCUAUUUUCAAUAAUUCUUUCUCAAUUUUAAAUUUUGAUUUAAAAACAAGUACAAAACCAGUGCCAGUGUUACGAUUACAAGUGUUACGAUUCGACAAGAGGUUAUAUAUACGUAUAUAAAAUUUAAAUCCAACGUAAAUGCAUCGAAUGCAUCGACAACGUACCAAUAGUUCGAUAUAUAUACGUGUACAUCAUUAAUGGUAGCUCGACGAUUCCAACUUCCAUUUUCAAUAAUUCUUUCUCAAUUUUAACAUUUGAUUUAAAAACAAAACCAGUGCCAGUGUUACGAUUACAAGUGUUACGAUUCGACAGGAGGUUAUAUAUACGUAUAUAAAAUUUAAAUCCAACGUAAAUGAGUCAACAUAACCUAUUACCACGCUCGUCCACGAGAAGACUACGAAACGAAUAAAAACCUGAAUAUUGGACCCCCGUGACCAGCUCCUUGACGUCCGCGUCGGACGUUCUCCUAAGCAGAUUGAUCAACGCGGGGACACCGCCCGCGUUCUUGAUGGCCCUCUUGUUCUCGUCGUUCUGCCUCCCGUACGACAAGUUCCUCAACGCGCCGCACGCGUUCCUGUACACGUCCGGAUUGUCGUGGUCGAGCAACUGAACCAGGGGCGGUAUACCGCCCAGGCUACGCGUCUUCUGCUUGUUCGGGUCGUCCAUGUAGCACAGGUGUUGCAGAUUCGGGUCCCGCCAUCUCAUCGACUUCUGGUCGUCGUCCAACGGGCUCGCCAUCCCGGCCACGACAGGGUGGCGCGACUGCAGCCGUUGCAGGUGGACCUCGUCGUCGAACAUGCCGGCCGGCACGCCCGCGGGCAGCGGGACCGGGUGGCCCUCGUCGUAGCCGGGCACGUCGCUGGGAACCUGGACCGGACCCACGCCGACGCCAGGGCCGUAUCCGACCGGCCCGUACGGGGACGGGGACACGUAACCGUUAGGUGCCCCUCCUUUUGAGUAGCAGUCGACACGCAUAAUUCACUCGCAUUAUCUUGCGGCAAUGACAAGGUGUUUUUGGGACGAGUGAUUAAAUGUCGAGAAGAGAGAUAGAUAGAGAGAGAGAAUGUUAAAUAAAUUAUUGAUGUGACCCUACCAUGAGGAUGCUGAGAGGGUUCGCCGGAGUCAUCCAUAUUCCAAGAGUUGCUGAUUUGAUCUAGAGAGGACACAAAAUAACAAACGAAUGUCAGGUAUAGAGAUAAUUAAAGUGAAUUAUGCUCGCUCCUUCUGUGCGCAUAUGGACAAAAAUUUCAACCCUCCUGCAAUAUGAUGAUGAUAGUUGAAUAUCUCGUUAUGGAGCUGUCUAGGUGAAAAUCUGAAUUUCUUUGGGCAACGACGAGAAACAGGGAGAGGAGGGCCACCAGGACUAGGAGUAAUACGAUAAUGAUCUUGCAACGCGGGAUUCAAACCUGGAUCGAUGUCGUUGUAACCUCCUUCCACGUACGGCGCCGCCUUGCGCAGAGAUAAUAAUUUUUCCAACAAAAAAAAGAAAAAGUCUUACCAUGCGGAGGCGAGGCACGACUGUGCUCCGAAGGACUGUGGGGGCUGUGAGGGGAGUGCGAGCGUGGCAUGUAGAUUCCAUGAGGGCCUGGAUACCCUGGUUGGGGCGGAUAGCCGAGGUAGGGCUCGUAAUGCUCGAAACCGACCAUGUAGGAGUCGGCCGGGUACCGUCGGUCGGCGUGCUGGUAGUCCUGGGACAUCAACGGCACCGACAUGUAGCUCACCGCGCCCGGAUCCGGCUCCAUGUGUGACACCUCGCGCACCACCUUCGAGACGUUUGUUACCUGAAAUUAUCACCAGGUUGAAUGGAAGAGAAUGGAAAGUUGAGUAAUACCGGGCGAUAGUUUUCUAGUUCUUCUUAAGAUUCUGAGAAAUAAUUUGUGGAAAUUACUGAUGAACAAUCGUUAAGAGUGAAAAGGAAAUGGCGGGGCCGGGUAAAUUAGAGCGUAGGUAAAACUGGAAACGGAUCUCACUUGUUGAGUAGUUUGCUGCUUAUGGCUCCGGAUGAGUAAUGGAUCCUCCUGGACAGAUAAAUGAGACGAAUGCAACGAAUGGGUAUCCGCCUGGCCGUUACUUCCGUGGUAAUCUGCAUCACUCUGUCCGCUGCAAAAUGAUCAAUUAGAGAUACCGCCAACAAUCGCCGAUUUAUUCGCUUGAGAUUCGUUAGCUUACGUGUAUUGCGGCAUGUCGGGGCCCUUCUCCUGGAGAACGCGUCUGGAAAAAAGAAAAUACGCAUGGAACGAAUCACUACUUGGUCUUGGAUUUGUUAUUCGCGUGGAAACGAGCCAUCAAAACGAAUAUUAAACAGCUAAAAUAAUUUUGGAAAAAGAAAAAAAAAAAAUUGGUAUAUGUAUCGGUACGUGCAAUUGGUAGACGAGAUAAAAAAGAAAUAAAUGAAUAAAUAAAUAAAGCGCACACCGAGCUGAAACGGUAAUAAACAAAGUAAUGAAAAAGGAACCAAGAACAAAGCGAAGCAUUCAGAUACGAAUCUAACUACGUUAAACUACCUCGUAUCCUCGUCACACAUCACUCUCAACCAUGCUAAAUAAUAAACGCGAAACGAAUGUUAGUGCGGCCGAAGUUACUCAUUCUGACGACUCUUUUCGAUGAUCCAUCUUUGAAAAUUCCUCGCGAGAUCUCGAUGGACGGAAUAUCUGUAUCCAACAGUAUCCAACAGUAUCCAAAUAUUUUUUAUUUAAACUGAUACAGAAAAAUCCUUUAAAAAAAUCGUGAAGGAUUAAAAUCAUUUAAGAGUUACAUGAAAAUAACGAAGAAAAUAUAUAUUUGGUAUAUUUUGUUCCAUCGAGAAUCUCGACGAAUUUCGAAUUUUCGAUUCGAAGCUUCGCUUUUUCCAAAGGAAAAAUAAUUCAUACAAUGUCGAUCCAACGAUGAAUAAUAAUGGAAUCUGUUAAUCGCGCUCGCGCGCUCAGAAUGACUAACCUCGUCUAUUAGGUCAUGUUAGUCACCUCUGCGUGAUCUCAGUGUGCGUUAUGCUGUGCUCCUGUCUCUCGACGAUUCGACGAUUCACCAGCCUGGCAUUAAUAAUUUCGCUCUGAUUAAUAUACGUGGGUGCCGGGGACUACGUGCAUCCUAAGGUGCCAUCUAUUUUCUAACAUAUCUUCCAUUACCGAGAAAACGAGCUUCGCCAAUUGGUCGACGUUGCGUUUUUUGCAAUAGCCGUGUAAAGUAGAGAGAGAGAGAGAAAGAGAAAGAGAGAAAGAGAGGGAGAAGCGGAGUUCGCCGAUGUUUCCCCUCCCUCGUUGGAGAAGGAAGGAAAAAGAGUAAUAGAGCGAAAGACAGAAAGAGAACGUAUUAAUCGUUUACGAGACUCUCCUCGACGGAGAGAAACUCGAGUAGAGAAA